UGGGAGGCUCAUUGAGCUGCGGUAAUGCCAGGGCACUUAUUCAUCAUCCUCUCCCAUGCUGCUUCCAGACUUGACAGUCAGCACAACAAACACUUAAUGACUCCUGACUUCCGGGAGGCCUCAUGUUUCACACCCGAUGGGCAACAGUCUGUAGUGGUCUGUUCCUCCCCAUGUUUGCGAAAAACUGGCAGAGGCAUAAUCGUAAAGUUUUAUUCUCCCAUCUUCUUCUGCUCGUUUGUAAGUGCUUCCAGACACACAUAACUUACUGAUAGUCGGACUCUGAAAGAAGCUUCUCCAAGAACGCCUGCUGGUUGCUGGCUUGUUUGGUGACUUGGAGAUGGUGAUAUGUUGGGAUGAUACCCAGGAGGUCCAGGAAUAGACUUCACAGGAGAAUAUGCCCGGGUGGCUGCUUGGCCCAGAAUGAUGAGGGUGGAGCCAACCUGAACCCAACCUGCAACCUGGAGAUGAUCCCGGCCAACCCAGAGAACUGUGCGUGAGAAAAAUAAAUGUUGACAGGGGUUGGCAUGAUUCUUUUUGUAAAGGGCCAGACAAUCUCAGAUGCAGUUUCUCAACUCUGCUCCUGCAGCACCGAGGCAGCCACAGACAACACAGAAGCAGAUGAGCGUUCCUGGGUCCAAUAAAACUUUAUCUGUAGACACUAAAAUUGGAAAUUCACAUCAUUCUUUU